UAUGAUAGAGGCGCGGAAAUCAUCAGUAGCACCCCCACGGCGGCGGAAACCGCCGGUGCGAAAGGGCUUUCCGCCGAAGGGUAUCCGCUUUUCCGGACGGAUAUGCCUGGGCCGACGGACAACAUCCGGCGGACUGUCGUCCCCUCGCGGGGCGGAGAGCUGUCAG
rnacentral:ncRNA from 1 species